AGAACGAACGCUGGCGGCAGGCUUAACACAUGCAAGUCGGGCGCCCCGCAAGGGGAGCGGCAGACGGGUGAGUAACGCGUGGGAACAUACCCUCCGGUUCGGAAUAGCUCAGGGAAACUUGGAUUAAUACCGGAUACGGCCUAGCGGCGAAAGAUUCAUCGCCGGAGGAUUGGCCCGCGUUCGAUUAGCUAGUUGGUGAGGUAACGGCUCACCAAGGCGACGAUCGGUAGCUGGUCUGAGAGGACGACCAGCCACACUGGAACUGAGACACGGUCCAGACUCCUACGGGAGGCAGCAGUGGGGAAUAUUGGACAAUGGGGGCAACCCUGAUCCAGCCAUGCCGCGUGGGUGAAGAAGGCCUUCGGGUUGUAAAGCCCUUUUGUACGGGAAGAAAAGCUUCGGGUUAACACCGGGAGUCAUGACGGUACCGUAAGAAUAAGCACCGGCUAACGUUCGUGCCAGCAGCCGC
rnacentral:rRNA from 1 species